rnacentral:rRNA from 1 species
AACGAACGCUGGCGGCAUGCCUAACACAUGCAAGUCGAACGAGACCUUCGGGGCUAGUGGCGCACGGGUGCGUAACGCGUGGGAACCUGCCCUUAGGUUCGGAAUAACUCCCCGAAAGGGGUGCUAAUACCGGAUAAUGUCUUCGGACCAAAGAUUUAUCGCCUUUGGAUGGGCCCGCGUUGGAUUAGCUAGUUGGUAGGGUAAAAGCCUACCAAGCCGACGAUCCAUAGCUGGUCUGAGAGGAUGAUCAGCCACACUGGGACUGAGACACGGCCCAGACUCCUGCGGGAGGCAGCAGUGGGGAAUAUUGGACAAUGGGCGAAAGCCUGAUACAGCAAUGCCGCGUGAGUGAUGAAGGCCUUAGGGUUGUAAAGCUCUUUUACCCGGGAUGAUAAUGACAGUACCGGGAGAAUAAGCGCCGGCUAACUCCGUG